GCCACCGAAGCCUAAGGAGUGCAGUGAUGAAGAGGAUAACUACAUUGUGCCAGUGGACAAUGAUGAUGACAACUAUAUUGAACCCACAGAAAGCAGCAUGUCACUUCCUACAAGAUCACCUGUGAACAGAUUUAUGAAGACAACAAGGCCAGCCCCCCCUAUUUCUCCAAAGCCUUCUCUUACUUCUAAUAUGCAAGGUAUGUGGAGCUUGCAUCGCUGUUAGAA